AACGAAUGCUGGCGGCAUGCCUAACACAUGCAAGUCGAACGGGAUCCAGGCUUCGGUCUGGUGAGAGUGGCGGACGGGUGAGUAACACGUGGGAACCUGCCUUUUGGUUCGGGAUAACCGCGGGAAACUGCGGCUAAUACCGGAUGCUCCCGAGAGGGGAAAGAUUUAUCGCCAGAAGAGGGGCCCGCGUCCGAUUAGGUAGUUGGUGAGGUAAUGGCUCACCAAGCCGACGAUCGGUAGCUGGUCUGAGAGGAUGAUCAGCCACACUGGGACUGAGAUACGGCCCAGACUCCUACGGGAGGCAGCAGUGGGGAAUAUUGGACAAUGGGGGCAACCCUGAUCCAGCAAUGCCGCGUGAGUGAUGAAGGCCUUAGGGUUGUAAAGCUCUUUUGCCAGGGAAGAUGAUGACUGUACCUGGAGAAUAAGCCCCGGCUAACUUCGUGCCAGCAGCCGCGGUAAU
rnacentral:rRNA from 1 species